rnacentral:tRNA from 1 species
GCUAGUGUAGCUUAAUUGGUAGAGCAGCUGAUUUGUAAUCAGCAGAUCGGGAGUUCGAAUCUCUUCACUAGCUA